rfam:Canis lupus familiaris chromosome 38, whole genome shotgun sequence.
GGGGGGAGGCCGGAUCCUGGGCUGUGUCCCGGCGCCCUGUGCUCCGGAGCCUGCGCUGGUGGAUUCGCGCUCCCGGGCCGCCGCCUCGCAGCCCCCU